GGAAGUAAAAGUCGUAACAAGAUCUCCGUAGGUGAACCUGCGGAAGGAUCAUUAUUGUAUAACCGAGGUGCGAGGGCUGUCGCUGACCCGAAAGGUCGUGCACGCCCGAGUGCCCUCACACACAUCCAUCUCACCCCUAUGUGCACCACCGCGUGGGUCCCCCUUUGGCUUGUUCGGAGGGGGGCUUACGUUUUCACACAAACUUUGUAUGCAGUGUAGAAUGUAUUUUUUGUUUUUGCGAUCACGCAAUCAAUACAACUUUCAACAACGGAUCUCUUGGCUCUC
rnacentral:misc_RNA from 1 species